AUUGAACGCUGGCGGCAGGCCUAACACAUGCAAGUCGAGCGAGCGGCGGACGGGUGAGUAUUGUAUGGGGCUCUGCCCGAUAGCGGGGGAUAACUAAUGGAAACGGUAGCUAAUACCGCAUACUCUCGGCUGAAACCAUAAGGGAGUAGCUAGUAGGUGGGGUAAAGGCUCACCAAGGCAACGAUCCUUAGCUGGUUUGAGAGGACGAGCAGCCACACUGGGACUGAGACACGGCCCAGACUCCUACGGGAGGCAGCAGUGGGGAAUUUUGGACAAUGGGGGAAACCCUGAUCCAGCCAUCCCGCGUGUAUGAUGAAGGCCUUCGGGUUGGAAAGUACUUUUGGCAGAGAAGCGGUAUCUGCAGAAUAAGCACCGGCUAACUACGUGCCAGCAGCCGCGGUAAUUC
rnacentral:rRNA from 1 species